rnacentral:tRNA from 1 species
GGAGAGGUGGCCGAGCGGUCGAAGGCGCACGCUUGGAGAGCGUAUGUGCGGCAACGUACCGAGGGUUCGAAUCCCUCCCUCUCCG